CCAGUCUCCCGAGAAUCAUUCAAUUAAUAGCUGCUAACUGCAGCUGUCUCUACAAACAGAAGAACAGCAGAAGCAGAAACAGAAACGGAAAGCCCAGAUACUUUGCCCCAAAACUUUGCACUGCAGCCUCGAGACUUUCGACCGAGCCCAACCGAACCGAACCUAGACGAAUGAAGCUGAACUCUUAAACUGUUUACAAUGGCCCUGAGCGCAAACAAACAGAGCUAUGGGGAAGUAGUACAGUACAGGCAGCAUUCGUAUCUGGGAGCGUGGAACGAGGGCCAAAUACUUAUUUGUCAUACAAAAGGCCUCUUCGCCGAUUCUGAAGCUUGUUGACAGCGGGCAGGUCCAUGCGCACAAUGCGACUAAGUAUAUGUAGUUAUAAAUAUACCUACAUAUCUCCAUUUGUAUCUGUAUCUGUAGCUGUAUCUGUAUCUGUAGCUGUACAAAGGAAAACGAGAAUAAAGAGAAUUGGCUGGGAAGUGGCAGUGCGAGCUGCUUUCGGCUUGAAAGAGCAAGGAAAACAUUACUCAAAUCUCAUUGUUUCAUUCGCAUCAUUGUUGCCUCUAUGUUGGUUCUAUGGCUAAGUAUUAGAGGAUAAAUGGCCAACAGUGUGAUUCACUCUCAUGAAUCUUAUCGGUCGCUGGUAUUGUAUUUUGUACACAAAAGGACUUUCAAAUGAUGUUUGCUUAAUUGAACGGGAAAACAUUGAAGAUCGCAUUUCCUCAUCGCAUGCAAAAAUUGUAUGCAAGGAGAGGGAGAAUUGUUUGACGGAAACACUCAAGGCAAAAAGAUGAACAU